UAGGGAAUCUUCGGCAAUGGACGAAAGUCUGACCGAGCAACGCCGCGUGAGUGAAGAAGGUUUUCGGAUCGUAAAACUCUGUUGUUAGAGAAGAACAAGGACGUUAGUAACUGAACGUCCCCUGACGGUAUCUAACCAGAAAGCCACGGCUAACUACGUGCCAGCAGCCGCGGUAAUACGUAGGUUGCAAGCGUUGUCCGGAUUUAUUGGGCGUAAAGCGAGCGCAGGCGGUUUCUUAAGUCUGAUGUGAAAGCCCCCGGCUCAACCGGGGAGGGUCAUUGGAAACUGGGAGACGUGAGUGCAGAAGAGGAGAGUGGAAUUCCAUGUGUAGCGGUGAAAUGCGAAGAUAUAUGGGGGAACACCAGUGGCGAAGGCGGCUCUCUGGUCUGUAACUGACGAUGAGGCUCGAAAGCGUGGGGAGCAAACAGG
rnacentral:rRNA from 1 species